GUAAUCUGUUUCUUCUUUCAUUCUCUAGAACAAUUCUUUAUCCUGAUUUCAGUGGGUAUUCUCAUUUGGCCGUAUGUCAGCUGUGACUUCUCAACUACUGUGUGCUGCAAAGAGCUAAGCAGUGGAAUUUUUGGUGACACCUAAUGUUGCUCUCCAGGAUAAAUUUAGCGAUUUGAAAAGUCCAAGCAGUGCAGGAGUGCCUGGGGCUUUGCUGUCAUUGCUGAUACUGCAUUUCUGGCACUGAAGACCUGCGCCCAAAAUUAAGAUAAGUGUAUUCAGUUUGCUUAUUGUUUCUCCAGAAAAUGCUUGUGUUGUCUGUUUGAAAAUCUGAAUUUUAUAUAAAAAUUACUCCAGGUUUCUUAUUUCCUUCUGUUGGUGACAGUAUUUAAUGAUAUGGGGAAAACACAGAAAAUAAGCUUGGUUUUUUUUUUAAUUUGGAUUUUUAAAAAAUGUGCAGAUAAUCAGAAAUAAAAGAUUAAGACGCACAAGUAAGUAUAUGCAGUACUAUGAAUUAAUUGGCUUAAAAUGUCCAUUUACUGUGAGGGUGGUGAAGCACUUGCACAAGUUUCCCAGAGAAGCUGUGGCUGCCCCAUCCUUAGCAGUGUCCAAGGCCAGCCUGGAUACGGUCUGGAGCAACCUGGGAUAGUGAAGGUGCCCCUGUACCUCGCAGAGGGGUUGGAACGAAAUGAUCUUUAAGGUCACUUCCAACCCAAAUUGUUCUGUGAUUUUAUACUCAGCUUCCCUUACACUUAUUUGUGACCUAGGCCUGUGCUAGGAGUAUUUUUAUUCUGUAAUCUGUGGGCAGAAAAUAACACUAGUAAAGCUUUCAGGUCACCUCUUUUUAGUAGCAGCUGCUUCAAUCCAAGGCCUUGAGUGCCUUUCCUGCAAGGAAAGGGUUAUCUCUCCUCUCAAAUGUGAGAGCACACCCUGCUCUAGCCUGCAGGCACACAGAUAAUAAUAACAUGGAAGGAUGGCAGCCUGUGCUCUGGAACGGUUUAUGAGGAGGAAGUCCGCAAUUACAUAUUUCUGGGCAAACAUUAACCAAGGCUGAAGCCUAGCUUCGAAGAAAAACAACAGGCUGGAACCUCCAGUAAUAUAGCUGUUAUGUGGACUGGAAAGAGCAGUCAUGCAUUCAUGGAGCAUUAGAAGCUAAGUAAGAAUAGAAUGACAGCAAAGCAAAAGACUUGAUAAUAUUAGCACAUCCUGUUGUGUGCCUGCAGAAAGUGUCUCUGCCCCGGCCCAGCCCUCCAGUGAUAUUGGAAAGACCAAGGAGAUAUUUUAUUUUAAGUACUCUCUAGCUCUCUUAAAACAGACCUAAGCCAAAAUAAUGGCACUAUUGUUUGCAGUGCUCAUGGCCUAAUCCAUUUAUAUCGGUGGUUUCAGAGCUUGCCACCACACACUGAAGUUUCCCCUUUAAAAAACAAGUUACUUUGGGCAUCUCUCAAUCACUGCGGUUACCACGCUAGAAACAAUUGCCAUUCUGUGCUGUGGUUUUGUAAAGCAGCAGUCUUAUUUAGAGCUUUGUGUGCUAAACUCGGGUAUGCCCAUUCUAUUAUGGACUCUCUGUACCUAAAAAUGGAAUUGUUACACUAAAAUUAAGGAGACAGCCAAAUGAUACAUACUUCCUCUGCUUUGUUUUUUCUGACAGACCACAAUUGCUGCAGAGAAGCUGUCCAGUCAUUACUGCAAACUCUGGGGAAAAGAAGUGACAGAAUUUAGACCUGUAUGGAAGAGGAGCGUUAGUCUAAAGAGACACUUGCUGUGGCAAGCAUAAUAUGUAGAUUCCAAAGUUAAGCACUUUGGAAAAAGUCCAAAAGAUGAAGAUACAUACAUUACUGCUGCUGGGGGGAAGGAAGGGAAUCUUAAAUGUCUCCAUAGAGAAUAUUUACUUGGCUUUUCUUCCUUUCCUUUUUUUAAAGGGCAAGACAGCUGUGGCUGAGAAGACUUACACUUGGAAUUAGGCUAUUUGGUUCACGUUUAAUGAAAUGGAGUCCUGUAUCCCUGAAAAUGAGAUGCAGUGGAAAUUCUGUUGAUCUUUCUUCCCAAGAUCAUGCAUUAACAGCAUUCUGGCAGGAAUAAGGGACUUCUGACACUCUCAGCUGAAGUACAAGAAAAGGACUUCACACAUCCGAAGUACAAGAAAAGGACUUUUCCCUAAUUUUAGCAUUUUGUGGGGCACAAGUUGGGAGCUGAGAGCAACAAACUCCUUUGGUCAUGAAGAUGAGCUUCACUUCACUCCUAUUGUUUCCAGUCACCACAGAAACCAAAGUGAAGGGGUGGACAUAUGGAUGCUUGAGUAUCUGUCUAAUACAGCAUCAAGAUAGAGCUGUAGCUUAUACCCAGACUUGGUUAACUCACUUUAUGAUUCUCAUGACCUGAAUCAAAAAAUAGCUUUAAGAUGGCUGAAUGGAUACUCCUCUAGUGAAUUGUUUUCUAUAAUGUUGUUGAUAUUUGUGGAAGCUGCUAAAGAUGGAAAAGUGCAUCUGGUCACUUGGGAAGGCAAACACUGCACAGCUGUUCCUCCUACAGCUGCUAGGGUGCUGCUCCAGGGUGCACUUUCAAAGUUGGUAUUGAAUAAGUGGUCCUGCAGCAUGGUGGGUUUGCUUAGGCAGGUCACACAGGUUAGAGCCUCUCAGCUCACUUCAGUGUUCCUGGGUUGGAGUUAUCUCAACCACUUUCUUUUCCUAUUAUUUUGUUUUAUGUUAUACCAGCUAAGCCUCUGUGUAUCUUGCGGUACCUCUGGUAGUCGUGUCAUGUCACAUUGAAUCGUCUGGAAAUCCCACUGGUCUUCCCCUCUGCACUGCUCUGUUACACACCUGGGUUUACACCAGUGAGCCCUCCUUUGGUCCAGUUCUUGUGUUCACUGAAGAAUAAUUUAAAUUAUUGUACAUUUUGGAACAAGUCUUUUGCUUUGUAACUGCUGUGCCAGACUGACAUUUGACCAGUUUGCUAGCAGAUGUUUUAUUAGAGGUCAACUCCUAUUGCCAUUUUGAAGAUGCUGUUACUAUGUGAAAAACCCAAGAUUUUCACCAAUUGGAAUUAUUCUACUGAAAUAUUUGUGCUGUCACACUUGAGGAUUUGUAAGUUGUGUAACACCUGUGUACAAUACAUUUUCUAAGUUAAUGAACCUUUUUCUGUAUCAAGCUCCCAAAUAUCUAUGCAGACACACACAUAUGAGCCUUCCAAGGCAUGCAAAUCUCUGCCAUCCAUUCUUCUGUGGUAUCACCUCUGCCAGACAAGUCAACUGCAAGGGAAAGCCAAGGAGCAGGACUCAGGAAACCCCCUUCUUUCAUAUUUGGCUUUCCCUGGGAGAAGUUGUAGGAUACGGCGGAAUUUCUUUCUUCUUUGUAUCUGUGUUGGCUAAAGCAGGACAGAGGAGCUUGGAAAGGCUCACCCUCCUCAAGGAACGCUAUCUGAUUCGUAAGCAUUCCUAGAGGUUAAGGCUGGUGACUAUCAAGAAAGCAAAUACUUCACGCAAGGGUAAGUCCUCUAAUUGUGUUUGUGUUGAAUAACUGCCAGAUCCCCAUGUCAGGAUGUCUGUAGUCACGGCUCUGAUCUCACCAUUCCUUCCUCGGCUGUUGCACAAUUGUGUUGCAUGUUUGUGGUACGGGAGAAAGUUGGAGAGCUGGGCUAUGAAACCAUCUCAGGGAAGGAAGCCAUGUUUUAUUUUAGUUGCUUGGUUUGGAUAAAAGCCUGUAGGAGAUGGAAUAACAUUUAAAAAUCCCCAUAAUGCGGCCCAUUCAUGGAAAACAAACCUGGUUUUCUCUACAGAUAUGUGAAAUAUGAGGUUUGAUAGCCAGGCUGGAAAAGGAAAUGCCAAUAGAAAUGUGUUUGCUAGUGUAGUGGAAAUCCUCAUGUACAUAUGUGUGAAGUUAUUACUUGUUCUACCUGGACUCUCACCUGUGAUUGCAAGGUCUGUUGGGGUCAGGCUUGUAAAUCCAAUAAGGGAACUUCUGAAAAACUUGUUAUGAAUCUGCUCCUCUGAUGGAUCACUUCAAGGAUCUGUUGUGGCAGGGAAGUAAGACAAAGCAAUGACAAAUAAGAGGUUACUAGAGAGGAAAGGAGCUCAAGGAUACUGCAAUGAGCUUAACUGGGGAGAGGGAAGGGAAGAACAUAAUAAUUUCUUCCAGACACAGCAGAAGAGUUUUGGAAACUCUCAGAACAAGCAAGAAUUGAAAGCCACUCAGGUUACAAAAAUAUUCAAUCCUGAAAGAAUAUAGCAGUUGCCUUAGCCACAGAAAUGUUGAUUAAAAGUAAUAUCCUGAUCAGUCUCAGUACCAUAAAUCUUUUCUAGAUGAUAAAGCUGUGCAUUACUCCUGUUUGGUCUGAACAAAGCAAAUGUCACAGAGGUCUAAUUUUAAUACAGAAAAAUAGUAAGAGGUUGAGUUAAUCUAUGACCAUCAUGUUGUCUCACAUAAUAAAAUCUGGUGAGCUGGUAGCAGUGCUCUGGGAGGAUGUCAGUUCCACUUCCUAAACCAGGAAGAGGAGAAUUAUCCAGAGCAAUAAAGAGCUUGUACAAAUAAUAUAAGGGAAAUCAGAAGUUAAUCUGAAUACCAACUCACUCAAUCUAAUCAGUACAAAUAGCUUCUUGCCAACUGCUCUGUUACCUGAAACAGGGGUCAACUGAUAAACAUCAGCCAGUCCUCUCAUUAAAAAAACACAGCUAACAACCCCCCUUCAUCUCCAAAUCUCAAAUUCCAUCGUUCCCGAUAAGCACUAACCAGUUCCUCAUCUCUCAUUUGCAGUUCAUAUCCUGAGCUACACAGAUUUGCUGUUAGAGAUAAGGAUAUGAGAAAGCAAAGCCAUAUUAAUACACAUGUUGCAACCUGCGAGCCUCUCUGGGGCUGCCGUGCCUGGCGCUGGAAAUAGGGGUGGUCAGUAAGCCUGCACUGGGAUUUGGGAUCUGGCCACACCCCAGUUGUUUGGCAACCUUAGCCCAGAUGAACACAGUCAAGGAAAGCAUUGUGAGCCACUUGGGCAGGGAAACAGAUGGCUGGGAAAAGAGGGAGCAAGCAAGAAAGAAUGAGAGCAAGAAGGACCCGCUGUGUGUCUGGGAGCUGAAAGGGGGAAGAGGGACAGGGAGCUGUAAUCCCAAAAUUAUGAAAGGUGUCACCCAGCUGCCAUCACAUCAUGUAAAUUUUUGGAUUCUCAUCCCACUGUUUGAUAUUUGUCAAAGCUAAAGGCAAACCAACAUUUUCUGCCUUUGCCUUUCAGCAUGAGUGAGGUUUCAGUGUCCUAAAAAACAGGUAACACCAGUCAAUGUUGGCAUUGGGAUGGCAGCCAGUAAAAGGUGGCUCCUAAAUCAGUGUUCUGGGGUUUGAGUCAAACAUUCCUCUUCAGCCAUUUAUCCAAUGUUUUUCUAAAUUUUUGGAAAGGUACAGAACUUGCCUUUUUUUGCUUUUCUUGGUAACUGAGAGAAAUAAGGGUUGAGUCAGCUGCACCACAAUGCAGAAUUCUUCUUUACAACAGGUUAGAGGCAUCUCAGAGAAAAUCGCCCUUUUCCGUUCUGCAGACUUUGGUUCUUCAUGUGUUUUAGAUUUGCAGAUAAACUAGUCAAAGCUAAUCAAAAGCAAAACAGAACACAACCAAUAUAAAAUCCCCCAACAGACUUUUUAAAGGUCACUGACUCAACUAUAUUUAGUUUUAAUAUUAUUUUUAAUUUCAGAGUGUGGGAAAUAAGCAGAGGUUAUUUCCUCCAGCAAACCAAGGUUUUCUUAGCCUCUUUUUUUGACUUCAGAUUUAGCCAAAGUAAAAUAUUAAGAUCUGUAAUAAUCUGAGAACAAUAUGUCUUGUUUACACUCAAAUUGCUAUUCACUGUCACUUUACUUUUUAAGGGAAAAGAAAUCCUGUUCCAGUGAGCCACAGGUAAAUUAAAUUUAAAUCAGUUCUAUGAUUAAGUUCUUGGAGAGAAGCUGCCUGUAGGAGCUUAUAUAUGCUUAUAUUUAUGGAAAGUCUACCCUCAAAUCAGAAAUAAGUCAAAAUUAUUUCAGUAAUAUGUUUUCCUUUUGAAAAAUUUCACUUUUUUCAAAGUGAGUAAUAUAGACAAAACUGGAUUAACUUAGAUCACUAUUUGUAGAAAAUAGAUGUACUCUUUUGCAUUAUGUUUCUCUGUGAGUUAUCACCCAUUUGUCUUUCCAAGGACGUGUUCUCCCUUCUACUAUUUACUUUUAAUUUCAAAGGGGGAACAAAAUGGGGUGAGGGGUUUUGGAUUAUUAUUUCAUUUGAAAUGCCUAGACAGUAAUGAAACAAAAUAUCCUAUGCAUCCUUUAAAAGCCAGACACUUGCUAUUGAAGGGGAAAUAAUUUUCCACCCCCAGGCCCUGUUCCACCCCAAAAAAGAAGAGAAAGAAAAAGAGAACAGGUGCAGUUAAUGGGCCAGACUAAAGUAUCAUGGGAGAUUUUCAAAACCACAGAUGAAUUUAGCUGCACUUCCGAGGAAAAGAAAUGAGUGUUGUUUACUUGGGUUUUCUGCAGUUUGAAAUUAUCCUCUCCAGGGCAGGCUUUGGGGGAAAGUCCACUUGAAAUAAUUGUAGACAUUUGGAAUUGACAUGUCAGCACCACCUCAUAUGACAGGGACGAAUGCCACUCAUUCAUACACGGAUUUUCCACAGACAACCAGAACAGCAGAGAAUAUUGCCAAGCAUUGCCAGUGAAAAGCAGGAAUAGCCUUGCCUUAUGACUCCACUCCUUAUUUUGCUUCUUUUUCAAAAUUCUGAGUGGGGAACAAAGUUUGGGUAUUUGUCUCUGGCAGGCAACUUUAUGUCUUCUUUUCCUUUGCUUUUAGCAGAACUUUUCCUCCUACCUUCACUUCCUGUUGUAUUUGCUUAUCUUAAAUUGUCCUGGAAAAUGAUGAGUUUAUGAAAAUGGAACAUGUGUCUUGAUUCUGUGAAAUUAAGAAAUUAUUAAGAAGUCUUUCAGUCCCACAUACCCCUACUCCAAGUAUAUACAUGCACUGAGACACAUCUGUUGAAUCUAUUAAAAAAGCUUUCGGGAACUUUGGAAUUACACAAAAAUUAGACAAAAUGGUACAUUUAAUACACCAUCUGCUUUAAUAAUGGAUAUCUUGCUCAUCUCUGGGCCUACAUCACACUUUGUGCUGAUCCAAACACAGCCAGUUAAUUUUAAAUGGAUUUUAUCUGUGACCUUAUUUUAAAACCUUAGUUCUUUGCUAUGUCUACCAUUUUGUAAAGUCACUGUGGAAACAGAGUGAAAACUGUUUAUUGAAGUGCUAAUGGCUUAUCCUAAUUUCCAUAAGGGAGCUUUUAUCCUUCAUGCAUUCUAACUUUAGUUGACCAUCAUUUUGCUUUAUAUUAGGUAUUUAAAAAUUGUUUUGGAAAAGUGGCUGAGUAGUCAAAAUUGCAAAUUAUCUUUCUUGUACCAUUUUUUCUUAUUUUUAUUUUUUAUUAAAUACCUUUCAUGUUUUCUCCCUUGUGUUGACCUGCUGCAGGUAAAUUCAAAGCAAAAACCACGUUAUUUCUUUUGUUCCAAUGACUCACUUCAGUUAGGAACAAACUCUGUUGUGUUAGUUGUUCCUUCUAAGAUAAUAUCAUACACUGCAUUCCAACAUAAUAGUAGCUUUUAAUUCAAAAUCGUAGAAAAAAAAGAAUGCUUGAAAAUAACCCAUAGGUAAUAGAGCAAGCUACUGUAGAAUCAUCUGGAUUCAUCUGUCUGUUUUUCUGCAGAUUGGGGGGGAUUUUUUUUUUUUGUAUUUUUUUUUAAGACAGUUUUUAAUGCUUGAACAAAUCCCUUUUUCUUCCCUUUGGUAAUGUGGUUAACUGUCUGGAAUGUGAGCCACUGGAAAUUCUUCCCCACAGAAGAAUCUCCAUUAAGCUUUCAGAGUUACUUCAUCCCCACAGCUGCAUGGAUAGAAGGCUUUCUAGUGCCUAAAUACUUACUGUAUAUGUCAUCCUUAAAUUAUUAUAUUUUUUUUUUCCCAGCCAGUGCUUUGGGAGCAGGUGCUAGCCUUUUGCUUCCUUUCUGCUUCCUCUGUGGGGAAUGGGCUGGAAAGAGCCAACUAAUUAGAAAAUUCUACAGGGAAAUUAAUUCUGCAAACAGCUGAGGAAUGGCAUUUCAGUAUAAUGCUCACUUUGUCUGUCAGCAGAGCACUGGUUGGCUUCACAAGUGGCAGCUCUCCCAGAUGUUAAACAUGUUGUGAUGAGACCAGAACAGCAUCAUAUGUUGCCUGUUUACUAAAAGUUGUGGUGCUCUGGAAGAAUAAGCAUUAAAACCAACCUCUGGGACGUGAUGUGUUGUGUCACAAGCCAGCAGCAUGGGAUUUUUUACAUAUUCUUGAAGUGGUAGCAAUGAACCAAAUAGUUUUUAGCCAGCUUAGUUCCAAACGUUGCCUUUGCUUUCAUGUAGGGCUGGGGGCAUGGAGAAGGAGGGGGCAAGGAGCCUCACUAAACCACUCUGUGUAAAGGCCUGUGUUGUCAAAGCCUGGUGUACACUUCAAAAAAAUAUGUGCAGCUCUGUGACAUGUCUGAGCAAACCCCUCACUUACCCAGCUGGCUCACGUGCAUGUCGGAUCCUCAUCCGCAGGCUCCCCUCUUCGGAGGCACCGGCGACAGAAAAAUGCAGGCAGGGCCCUCGGAAGGAGCCUGUUCUGAGAUGUUAAUGGAAACAGCACUUAGUGAAGAUGAUGACAGACUAUUCAUUCAUGUCACCAGUACCUGCUUUGGUCACCUUAGUGUCUCUUACUUCAGACUAAACCCCAGCCACCUGCAUUACCUUAUGUGAUGUGCCUGUUUCUCAGCCCACUUCUGACAGACCUCUGUGACCCUCCAGCCCAGUGCUCCUCCUGGCCACUGCUCCUUCCUUCCAGAGCCCCCAAGUUUCCCCCCAGCUAACCCUCAGGAGCAGGAUUCUCAUGCACAUUGCUCCCAGAUUGACAUGGCAUCCCUUCCACGGGCUGCCAGGAGGUGCCCCUGGGCUCUGUUUUAGCAUUCAGCUAUGCACAAGUGGCCCUCACACUCCAGAUGUCUGGGAAUUUGCCCUGGAUUUAACACAGGGAGAGUGACUUGUGAGCUCCCAUUGAGUAAUACAGAACUGCUUUCUUAUCUUUUCAGUCUCAACAUGAUGUGCUCUGAACACCUCUUUGUGGUGGUUCAUUUUUCAGGUGUUUUACUCUGCCUCAGUGGUUCUUGUAUUCUUGAGCUCUCUUUUAUACUCUGUCCUAAAUAUCUCAAUGUUUUUCCUUCCUCCAUUUCCUAAGAACUACUUGUCUUAUCUAAGAAUAUGAAAAAAAAUAGGAUAUUAAUGCAAUUCCCAUGGAGUUUUGUUGUUUUUCUAUAUCUGAAGACGUUCCAAAGCAUUUUUCUUUGUCUUAUAUAUGAUUGACUGUAGCAGGAGUUAAUUUUUUUUUUUUAAUUUCCAUUGUCAUGUACUUCACAAAUGCAGUAUAAUAAUAAUUCCAUAUUCUGUCUCAAUCAAAAAUCUAAUCACUCCUUAUUUUAUUCUCAGUCUGUUCUCUCCAGCAUAAUUACAUUGCUUAAUAUGUUGCACAGUGUUGGGUUCAAGGACUGCUUUUAAUUGUAAAUUAUCUAUAUCUUAUUACCAGUCCAGUGUAACAUGUAGGUGUUGUUUGAGAAUGAUUUGGCUAUAAAACUUUAUUUAAAUUGAACCUUGAAAUUUUGGACAUGCUCAUGUUGAUGUGUGAUCAUCUUCCAGCAUGAAGCACUAACUAAAGGGCUUUGACUUAAAAAGAGUCAUUUUCACAGAUGAAGAUCAUGCUUGCAGAAGAAAAUAAUAGCAUUCCAUCUUUGUCUUUAAUAAAAAUCAAGCCAGUUUCUGUAUUUUCUAAAUUUACUUCACCUGUUAGCAAUUACAGUUUUCCUAAUGAGAUUUAAUUGCUUAAGAAACCAUUGAAAUUAAAUCCCAACUAAAUAUUAACAUCUUCCCCUCAUCUAAUUCACAAUUUGAAAACAUUCUUUGCGCAUUUUAAUUUAAUUUCUGUAGAUAUGUACAUUAAAAAAUUGGAAGGACUAAAAAGCAUCUAUCUCUAAAAGAGAUGUGCAUGGACUUUUGGAUGUGAACAACUGGAAUCUAAAGUCUCUUUGCUCUAGAGGGGUCCUAAUGUCACACGUAGAAGAUUUAUUCUGCAGUCACAUUUUCUGAAUUAAUGGACUUUUUAAUUUUGAGGUCCCAAAUGCAUCACUCCCUGGCAGUUUUCCAAAGUGCAUUAUGAUAUAAAGAUGACUGCAUUAUGGAAGUUUGUCAAGUGGUCCAUGAUUAACAUGGGGACCUGUCUGCACUUAAAACAAGAACCAAAUGAAAUUAUUAAAUGUUAUGAUCAAAUAUUCUUCUCAGAAUUACAUUUUUUAUUAGGGUAUGCUUAAUAAUUGCAGGAACAUUGGCAGCUGAAAUUUCUAAAGUGAUUGUCAAAUAGGAAAUAAAAUGGAAAAUGGGAAAUAAAAUGUGCUAUUUAUUGAAGGUCAAGAUAGGCUGCCUUUAUAUUCUAUGUAGAUAAAAGUUCUUUGUGAUUUAAUUUUAUGUUUAUUGUCAUCCAGAUGUUCAAAGUACUGACCCAGCUGGUGUGGAAAUUUCAUUUUUUCCAGCUUAUGAUAAUGAAUUGAAUCAUGAAAAAAAACCAUAAAACAUCUCCAUAUUGCAUCCAUGGAGAUUCACUAGGAUGAAUUACACUAAAUGGAUUUUUAUGUGGAAUGGGUGUCUUUUCCAAAGUUCAACGAGAGUCAAGACUACAUCCGUACAUGUUUAGGAGCCAAAAACUAUUAUGCCAUACACGGUCAGGUGGCAUUUGUCCAGAAGCUGACAUGUCCUUUCGUUGCUAAAAUCCUUGGUUUGGAAUGGAAUGGAGUCAGGUACAGGAAGGAAAUGAUUAUGGAAACUUAAGAAUUUGAGACCUCAGCUAUCUUCAGACACAACAAAACAUUUCCUCCUGUUAUCGGCAGGAACUGCCAGCAUGGUGUACAUUUCUGAGGAGCAAUACUGAUUUUUGAGUGUUAUUAAGCAGCAUCUUCAAGCCAAAGUUGGAAGAAAAGGGAGAAACCAAGAGAAGUUUGGCAUCUCCUGUCCCUCAGCUUGAGUUGGAAACCUCAGUUAUGAAAACAGGAUGGGUAAUAAAUAGCUCUGUCCAAGUCUCA